rnacentral:rRNA from 1 species
UACGUAGGGUGCGAGCGUUGUCCGGAAUUAUUGGGCGUAAAGAGCUCGUAGGCGGUGUGUCGCGUCGGCCGUGAAAACCUGCAGCUUAACUGUGGGCUUGCGGUCGAUACGGGCAUCACUGGAGUUCGGCAGGGGAGACUGGAAUUCCUGGUGUAGCGGUGAAAUGCGCAGAUAUCAGGAAGAACACCUAUGGCGAAAGCAGCUCUCUGGGACGGUACUGACGCUGAGACGCGAAAGCGUGGGGAGCGAACAGG